UUAUCUCACUUGGUUUUAAUGCACCUUUAUCUUGACACCAUUGUCUUAUUAGAGAGCAUAAGUCAUUUGCCCUGAUAUCUGUCAUUAACUAAAUGCCAAUCUUCUUCCUGUCAACAUAUGUACUCUCCCAUCACUUUGGUCAUCCAUAUCUCUUUCCUCCCUCACCCUAGAUCUCUCCCGAUGUACUACUACCACAAACAAUUCUCUGACUAUAUUCACUUCAUGGGAAUGCCACUGCCUACGAGUGGGAGUCCAAUUAUAUUGCCUCAGCUCACAGUCUGAUUUUUAUUUGUGUGUUUGUGUGCAUUUGGAAGUGGAUGGAAAUGCUUAAGUUUUGAUUCUGAAUCUCGUAGUUGUUGUACCACAUUUUUUAUUCUGAAUCUCAGCAAAUUCUCCCUGAUUUUUAGAUUUCCUCCCUGUUUUGCUACGCUCUACAAUAUGGGUUCAUCUGUAUUCUGUGAUUGAAUAGGGUCAACAGAUCGGUCUGGUGCUAAAUGCUUGAUAUGGAACUAAAUAAACACCUUGUGGGUAAAGUCACAGUUAAUAGUUCAGAUGCCAGGUACUAGCUUUCAAACACCCAACGAAUUAUUUUCUUCUUUGACACAAAGGUAGUUUUGGGAAACUUGGUUUUUGUAACACUUCAAUCAUUUAUGAUGACUGCUAUGUGAAUACAUCUUUAUCUUUAUGACUGGAGCUUCGAAAAAGGCAAUGAACAUUGUUCCUGAUCCAUCUCACUACCUAUGCAUUUUUUGUUCGUUUUUUGCAGUUAUCUUAUAAACUUUCUUAUUUGUGAACAACCAUAACAAUUUAGCUUAUUCUAGCCGUUGUCCAAGGCUAUUGGUAUUGGUCGCCUUCGUCCGCGUCGUGAAGUGCGCGACCCUCGCGAACGUUCAUCUCGCGGCCGCUCUUGCCUUUACCAAAGAAUCGGUUUGACUGCAGUGCACGAUUACUAAAUUGGUGCAUUCAGAAUACCACCAAUAUAUAAUUUCUUGCAAUGCCAUCUAACAGUGCUACUGCUGAUCUCCCACAAAAGAUUUCUCCACCAAAAAUGAUUCACUCUUCUAUGCCCCUUACUGUAAAGUACCAUCAGAGCAUCGUAUCUCAAUGUUCCUUAUUUCUUUCAUACCUGAACGCACAGAAUUACUGUAAAAUGCUCAAACACUCUUGAACUAUUUGCUAUGGAGGAAUCUAUAAGUGUUUUACAAAUCCCUGCUUCCUGUUUGCAGCCCAGAACUGAGGAGCAGCAGGGACGAGCGCGGCUGCAGCGAUUGACGCCGUGAAGGCGUACAACAGGGACGAGCGCAUCCUCGACGCUACAGCGAUUGACGCCGUGAAGGCAUACGCCGGCGUGGACUAGCAAGGCUGCUGCGCAUCAGAUGGCGUUGAGGAAUGAUUUGAGCUCCUCCACAUUGGGUCCGAAGAAUAUUGAAGAUCUCAGGAGCUUGCACGUAUGUCAGAUUUGAGAUGGAAAGAAGCCCUCAGAGUACAUUAAUUCAUCACUGAGUUCGGGAUUUUGAAUGUCACAUGUUAUCGUGAAAUUUAGAUGUCACACAUUAUCAUGGACUCGGCUGCGGUCGAGCCCAAGCGCACCCGUGCGGACCGGGAGCUCUGUCUAGGUGGUGAUGCAUGUGUCGCCCUGUCUUGUACCCAGGGGAGUGUCCAUGGGUGUGUGUUGGAGGAUGCAUUGCCCACUUCGGCGAACCGUGAAUUAACACCACCACAGCACCGCCAGGCUGCUCCCGGCCAUUCGACAAGCUAGGGCGAUAUUACAGGUUAUGAAAUUUGGUCCUCCAGAGAUUUUAUGCUUCACGGUUGUUUCUAUGGCUUUGAUUGUGGAUAAAUUUAUAUGAUGUACUGCUUUGCAAUGCAGAAGCUUUGGUUGUCCAGUGAUUGGUCUAUCGUCUAAUUGAAGCACAUGGUGGCAUAUUUGGGUUGGUAUUUCGGCAUCUUCCUCUUAAACUGAAUUGGUCAAUUAUUCUACUGCUGCAAGAAUUGAUAAUGCAGGCUGUGGAUAUGAUUAGUCAGAUUUUAGCUCCAUAAUAAUGAACUAAACGGUGCAUAGUGUGUUGGUCCCAGUGUACUUAUUGGAAAUGUCUGAUCAAGUUGUUACUUGGAAUGCUACGAUUUUAUUGCAGGCUUGGUUUACCAUUAUUAGGAGUUCCGCUUCAUCACCUAUAGAAUUCCUCGGUUCCAUGUUUCAAGGUGUCAACAAGCAGAGGUAUUAACUGCGCUGGCAGAUGAUAAUGCUUUAAUGGAAGUAGAAGCGUCCAUUAGUGCAGCUCGGUUCAUUGGAUCCACAUUGACACAAUGAUGCGAGAACGCGUUUCUUUCUUGGAAUGGAAAAUCUACAUGUACUUCGCAAAGGUAGGUGUGUAUUCCAGCAAGAGAUAGAUCAACAGAGAAAAUUUAGAUUAGAAUGGGUUGAUUAGAUUUCUAUUGUUAAUCUUAUAGCAUUUGAUGCUUGCUCUUGGGAUUUUCUGAAGAACAAUAUGCAGUGGCAGGAGCAUUCAGAAAAACCAGCUAUAUCAGGGCCAUCAUAGAAUCUUCGGGCUACAAGCAAGGGAUGCUAUGUAAGCUGGAAGGUGGCCUAAAUGUGCUAUAUUUUCUAACAGUAUGGAGAGUUGUGGCAAGUGGAGUAGACAAGCUGAUAUUCACUAGAAUUUCCCUGGAAACCCAAUGUUUAGUAAUGGUGGGGCGGAAAGGAUUCAUGCUAAUUGGACUGUUCCCUUUAUUGUUUUUCAAGCAUGGUGUUUGAGGUCUGAAGUUUUCUUUCCAAGAUUGUACGAGUGGUUGAAAUUGCUAAAGGUUAAUGAGAAGCAACUACUAGAGAUAGAAUGACUAAUGAAAAAUUCAGCUGAUGGAGGAUGGUGUUAGUACUGACAGGUGCUGAGGCUGAAAAGAUAAUUUUAAAAAAAGGGUGUAUGAUAUACAAAUAUCAGGCUUCAAAGUUGGAAACGAAUUGUCAAAUUGGAAUGAAAUAUACAUUGUUUUACAUCA